rnacentral:lncRNA from 1 species
AGAAAAACGAAGGAAAACAUGUUUAUAAACAACUAGCAAAAGCCGAAGGAGUUCAAGCAAAACAAGAGCUACAAGAAAAAACAAAGAAAAUCCUAAAGGCUACUUAAAAUACUACACUACAGCAGCUUGGACAUCCCACGACUACUCGGUCGCCACACCUUCAACAACCGUAACACUUUUAGCAACGGCAUCAUCCGGCGCUUCACCCCCGGCUGCCCCAGUCUGGGCACAAACUUCUCCAACUACUUCACCAAUGGAAGCCUUAAAAGUAAAAGCAAGCAAGUCUUUCGAAGAAAUAGAAAAGGUCUUAAAACCUCAAGCCCAUCAUUCUCACCCUCCAGCUGCUCAUUCUUCUUAAGCAGACUAACACAGACGCGCUGCAGCUCAUCCACGCCCUUCUUAGCAUAAGUAGCGAAACGAAGCUCAGAAAUUGCAAGCUUAAGAUCUUGAAUCUGAGGCGAAUCAAUCUCAGUAGCAAAGGAAGCAAGCUUUGGCGCCACUUUAGCAGCAGAGUAGGUGAACCAGACUUGGCUCCCAAAGAACGUCCUGAUACAGACUUCGGCACUGGGGGCAUGAUAAAACCUUUACGCUGAGCAAUCUUAUCCACAAUUGUAC